AAACAUAUACACACACACUCCCAUACAUAAACGACGAAUAAAAUAAAAAUUCUCGAAAUGAUGUCGUGAAAGUAUUAUCGAGUAGUUUGUUUAUCGUUUGUCUUUUAAAGAUUCGGUCUUCGCUUACCUUGCAGAAAAAAACAAAUACCGAAGAAGUUUAAAAAAUGGCUUCGCUUAAGCUACCAUUGUUAUAGACCAAUAAGAUAAGGAUGUAUAGAAAUUCUCUAAAAAUGUAAAGAAAUUUUUGUGAUACACAACUCAAAUUAAAGGAAGAAGAAAAAGGAAAGAAACAAAAAAAAACAAAUGUCAGAUGUUAAUUUUUUGAAAACAAAGUAACUGCGUAAUUGUUUAUGUGAAGUGAAAAGAAAUUUGACGAGAUUUUUCCAUAAAAAAUUUCGUGGCAAUGCAAAAGUGCUCCCCCGCAUAGAAAUUAAAAAAAAAAACGUUUAACAAUUCCAUAAUCCAAUUGGAAUUAUUUGUAAAGAAGAAAAAGCAUAGUUGACUAUGUGAUUUAAUGUCUACUAGUUAUUUUUAAUACAAUUGUGGACUUUAAAUGAAAGAUAUUAUAACAUUUUAAAUUAAAACAAAAAUUUAUUCAAGUGCAAUAUACUAAAUUCAACCAGAUGUGUGGAGAAAGCCAUAAAAGGCCAACGCAUCUGCCAAAGCAAUUAUAACAACAACAACAACCACAACGGAAACAUCACAAAAUCAGUUCAAGGUCUUUUGGGUAAGUUUAACAUACCAAGCAAUUGUGAAUCAUUAGAAAAUAAGGUAAUGAAAAAACUUUUAAAAAUACAUUUUCUUAACUUUUUAUUAAAUGUGUGAAAAAUGUGCCUUUAAAGAAAAUUUCAUAGAAAUUUGGUCUUUGGAGAAAAUUCCAUAGAAAUUUUGUCUUAAGAUUAUAUUUCAGUGAAGUUUUGACUUUGAAUGGCUCUGUCUCGAUUUUUAUUAUUCCCAUAAAUCCGACAUUUAUUAUCCAUUUAUUUUGCUGAAAU
rnacentral:sRNA from 1 species